GCGAGUCUCCGUGCAGAUCCCUCGGGUCCGCCCGGAGUUCGCUCAGCUGCCCGAGCGGCGGAUCGCACCUUUCUCCGAGUUCGGGAGGCCUUCGGCCCGCCCUCCUCCUCUCCUUCCCACGGUAGUGACAGGAAUGGCGGGUCUUUACCUACAGGACCGCAGGGCCUCGACACGCCGCCCUUUUUCUCAGAAACUGUGGGAGAUCACCAGUUACUCGGCGCUAGAAGUUAGCUGCUGGUGGAGUCGGUACCGCCGCCGCUCAGCAGAUCAAUCGGAGCAGAUGCUGGGCACGGACGGGCACUGGCGCAGCUGAGUGGAGACAGUUACAGUGGCACGAGAGCCGCAGCGGGAGUGGAGGCAGAAGGGCUGCAGGCGUGGGCUGGCCGUGGACAGGGAGAUGAGGUCUUGCUAUGCUGCUCAGACGGAACUUUAU